rnacentral:rRNA from 1 species
CCUACGGGGGGCAGCAGUGAGGAAUAUUGGUCAAUGGUCGCGAGCCUGAACCAGCCAAGUAGCGUGAAGGAUGACUGCCCUACGGGUUGUAAACUUCUUUUAUAUGGGAAUAAAAUGAUCCACGUGUGCCUUUUUGUAUGUACUUUAUGAAUAAGAAUCGGCUAACUCCGUGCCAUCAGCCGCGGUCAUACGGAGGAUCCGCGCGUUAUCCGGAUUUAUUGGGUUUAAGGGGAGCGUAGAUGGGUUGUUAAGUCAGUUGUGAAAGUUUGCGGCUCAACCGUAAAAUUGCAAUUGAUACUGGCAGGCUUGAGUACAGUAGAGGUGGGCGGAAUUCGUGGUGUAGCGGUGAAAUGCGUAGAUAUCACGAAGAACACCGAUUGCGAAGGCAGCUCACUAAACUGCAACUGACACUGAGGCUCGAAAGUGUGGGUAUCAAACAGGAUUAGAUACCCGGGUAGUC